UUUAAGUAUUAAUUAAUAAGUCGUGAAUGUAACACCCUUAUUGGAUAAAAGUAGUGGGGUGAUGGUUAGUCAUGGUAAUGUAUGGAAAGUAGGAUGUGUCUCGAUUUAAGAGUAUAAAAGAUGAAAUGCAGAAGUAUCUUACGGGAAUUUCACCUCGGACACAGACUGUGCUGCAUGUGGACUGAGCCAACUCCCUCGCAGUGCUAUUUUGGCUUUAAAGUUUGGUCUGGAUUCCCCCUGCCUAGCAGACAAAGUUUGGAUUAUCUUUCACACUCUGGAUUUCUACUUCUUGGACUUUGUACGGAGUCGAGGAGAUCAAUUGGAAUACAUUUGUGAAGGAUUUAAGGGAUUUACCAAAGGACAGAGUCAUCGUUCAUCCGGACUUCCCUAUUUUACCAACUCGUUCUGCGGCGGUAAAAGGACUGGGUUUGGGUGCGGCUCACUCAACACCUGUCCUUCCCUAAAAAGGAUUUUUGGACAGUUUUGGACAUUUUACUUUACCCCCACUUCAUCUGCCUGGCUCAUAAGUACUCAAGACUGUAAAACUAUAGGCAACCUGAAUGGUAGCUCCGGCACCUAACUCUUAUUGGUCACAAUAGUCAAGUCCACUUGAAACCAUUCUUAUGUCCCUAGGGCUUCCAGCCUAGCCUUUAAAUUAUAACCUGGCAGGUACCAAGUGCACAGAUCCAUUAGGGGUAAGCCACCACUGACGGGACUUAACCUCAGACCCAGCUGCAGGAAGCCUCCAUGACUGGUGGAUCCGGGGGACGUGAGGAAGCGUGGCAGACGUCAGGAUUAAGGGUGGUUAGAGGCCAGGCGAGUUACCCCCCCUACAGCUUGAGUAGUGCUGUCACUGAGUUCAGUUGGGGUAAUACUCUGCUGACGUGAAGCCGUAACCCUGUAUAAACGGAGAAGCUGUCUUACCUGUUACCUGUGGGGAUCUAACAAUGGAUAUCCUGUGAAGUUGAGAUGAUUCAUUUGGUUAAAGAUCUGUUAGUAUUUUGAUGAUGGUAUGUGUCAAAGCGUAAGUGGCAAGUAGUACAUGCCUAGACAUGUUUCUAUGAAACUCACGUGAUGCCAUCCGACCCUGCCCAUGCUUUUGGCCAAGUGAAAAGCUAAUGAUAACCGAAGAUUAUUGCAGUCCAUUCUCCAGUCCGCGCCAGACUUGAAAAAUAAAAUGACCUGUUGACCUUAAAGGUCAACGAUCAUCUUUUUAUCAGGUGAAACAGCGGAGUCACAACCCCCGUACGUUUGGGAUGGAUGUGAAGCUCUGGCCAUCUCUCACACACACUCAGUACUGGGGGCUUGUAAACAGGGUAUAAAGCCAUUGUCAUACACGCAUUUCAUCACUACCUGCUGCUGAAGACGUCACAUCAGUCUUGCCUGAGAGCCUCCAAAGAAGCACAUUUUUGGGGGGGGUACGUAAUCUCUGUCCCUUUAUUAUCGGGUGAUUCCUUUCACUAAACCUAACAUAGUUUCCUGAAGCUGUUUUUCAGACACAGAUAUUUUUUCAUGAAAGCAUCAAAAAUGGGUUCUUGUAUGUAACAUUUUAAGACUGAUUUUAUACAUGUUUCAUUGUUACGGUAUAAGGAUAACACAGGGCCUUUCUUCCAGACACUGAGAAGGCGGCCUUCUUUCGCCGUGCAUAUGAUGAGUACAGCCAGGGCAUCUUAUGUAAGGCAUUUAUCUGAUUUAAAUGAAGCUAUAGAUUUUACAGAAAAAAAAAAAAGAAAUUUACAAGAAUUAAUUUUUUUGUAGGCACCCCUGAAGUAGUGUGAUAGAUAGUAAAUGUGAUAGAUUCUAUAGACUUUUAUUACGAUGCAAGACACCGUUUUGGAUUACGAAAAAGAGAGUGAACUUCAAUCUCAAUCUGAAAUUAACACAACAGACAGACCUGAGACACCUCCGACCAACGGUAAGAAGAAAAAAAAAAAGUAUAAAUUUUAAAUAAGUAAAAUAAAUCCAAACCCGUUUCUCUCCAUUUUGUAGAGUACAGACCAGAACCCGCUCACAAGGUGAACAAGGCUACUUGUACCAGCGAAGACGGUGUUUACUCACUAUUCGUCAUACCCGACACGCCAGAAAAGCAAGGGAGACAACCAGCUAACACUAAAGAAGCUGACACUGACGGAGGACCAUCUGGAUCCAGAAUUAACAUACCAGAAGCACCAGAGAAAGCAGUGACUGAGGACUCCAGGCCAUACCCCAAACUGAAGCAUUCCACUAGAAGAAGUGGCAGGAGGAAUACGAGGAGAUCAGCUUCAGGACGUCGGGGUCUAUCGAGAGGGAAGCUUAAGCCAGUUCGGUCCCCUGAUUUCAUGGAAAACCAAAAGGCAAGCCACAGUAUCUCUUUCAACUUGUGAAGCUAAAUACAUGGCGCCAGCUGCAACUAUACAAGAAUGUGUGUGGAAUGACCUGCUGAUUGCUACGCUGGGGCUGUGCUGCCUUCCCACCUGUUUCACAUCUCUCGUUAAGUUGAACCAUACUUAAGGACUCUCCACUCUACCAUUCUCUGCCAGUUCUUCCAGUUGCCAGUCGUCCAGCUAGCCUCCGGAAUCUUAUUAUGUGUGUAUUAGACUUUUUGCUCAAGAUCUUUUGUUAUUAAAACUUCUGUUAAGCCUGAACAUCCUGCGCCUGCGCUUGGGUUCAUUCUCUCCCAUUUUGCCACGACACACAACAGACACAAGGU